AUAACGACUCUCGGCAACGGAUAUCUCGGCUCUCGCAUCGAUGAAGAACGUAGCGAAAUGCGAUACUUGGUGUGAAUUGCAGAAUCCCGUGAACCAUCGAGUCUUUGAACGCAAGUUGCGCCCGAAGCCAUCCGGCCGAGGGCACGUCUGCCUGGGCGUCACGC
rnacentral:rRNA from 3 species